rnacentral:rRNA from 1 species
GAUGAACGCUAGCGGCAGGCUUAAUACAUGCAAGUCGAGGGGCAGCGGGAGUAGCAAUACUUGCCGGCGACCGGCGCACGGGUGCGUAACACGUAUGUAAUCUGCCCAUCACAGGAGGAUAGCCCGGAGAAAUUCGGAUUAAUACUCCAUAAUAGAAGAUAAAGCAUUUUAUUUCUUGAAAGUUCCGACGGUGAUGGAUGAACAUGCGACUGAUUAGUUUGUUGGUGAGGUAACGGCUCACCAAGACUACGAUCAGUAGGGGUACUGAGAGGUUAAACCCCCACACUGGUACUGAGACACGGACCAGACCUCCGUACGGGAGCAGCAAGUAAGGAAUUAGUUGGAACAAGUCGGCCGACGAAGGCUAGACU